rnacentral:rRNA from 1 species
UACAUAGGGGGCAAGCGUUAUCCGGAAUUAUUGGGUGUAAAGGGUGCGUAGACGGAGAAACAAGUUGGUUGUGAAAUCCCUCGGCUCAACCGAGGAACUGCAACCAAAACUAUUUCCCUUGGGUGUCGGAGAGGAAAGUGGAAUUCCUAGUGUAGCGGUGAAAUGCGUAGAUAUUAGGAGGAACACCAGUGGCGAAGGCGACUUUCUGGACGAUAACUGACGUUGAGGCACGAAAGUGUGGGGAGCAAACAGG